GAUGAACGCUGGCGGCGUGCCUAAUACAUGCAAGUCGAGCGAACGGACGAGAAGCUUGCUUCUCUGAUGUUAGCGGCGGACGGGUGAGUCACACGUGGAUAACCUACCUAUAAGACUGGGAUAACUUCGGGAAACCGUAGCUAAUACCGGAUAAUAUUUUGAACCGCAUGGUUCAAAAGUGAAAGACGGUCUUGCUGUCACUUAUAGAUGGAUCUGGGCUGCAUUAGCUGGUUGGUAGGUUAACGGCUUACCAAGGCAACUAUGCAUAGCCGACCUGAGAGGGGGAUAGGCGGCCCUGGAACGGGGACGGCGUCAUGACGACUACGAGACGCAGCAGUAGGGAACGUGCGGCAGUGGGCGAAAGCCUUACGGAACAACGGCACGUGAGUGAUAGAGGUGUUCGGAGCGUAAAACUCUGUUAUGAGGGAAGAACAGAUGUGUAAGUAACUGAGCACAGAUUGACGGUACCGAAUAAAAAAGCAACGGCUAACUACGUG
rnacentral:rRNA from 1 species